GACAGAGGGUGCAAACGUUGUUCGGAUUUACUGGGCGUAAAGCGCGUGUAGGCGGCUUUGCAAGUCGGAUGUGAAAUCCCUCGGCUCAACCGGGGAACUGCGUCUGAGACUGGAAGGCUUGAAUCCGGGAGAGGGAUGUGGAAUUCCAGGUGUAGCGGUGAAAUGCGUAGAUAUCUGGAGGAACACCGGUGGCGAAGGCGGCAUCCUGGACCGGUAUUGACGCUGAGGCGCGAAAGCCAGGGGAGCAAACGGG
rnacentral:rRNA from 1 species